ACGCUCAGACAGCGGACGGCCUUCGUCAGCGGGUAUCUCAAUGAGCAGGACUGAGCAGGACUCGGCAGGCACCGGAACGACUGACGGAUGGCACGACUCCUAUCUGCUGGGCGAGGAUAGCAUCUUGUUCAAAUACAUACCCCAGGCGGAAGACGACGACGGCUCAUCCCCAUUCAGAGUUGUGGUGCCACGCAAGUUGCGACGCUGACUUCUCAGAGCGUGUGGGAGAGACUACUCGACACUUUUUGCCGGUUCGGGUUUCCUGCUCCCAACUCAUCACAGACAACGCAACCCACUUUACAACAUAUACCAUGCGGCGACCCUCCCGAUAAAGGACGGGCCUGUCUCGACCGCACCGCCAAGAGACUGCAGGACGCUCCUGACCCAAGUCGUCCCCGGAUAGGUCUCCCCCUCCGCAGCAGCGAUCGAGUGCGAAGUGGAUCGUCGUCCACAAAGCACGGCCUUGGUUGGGCAUCGCACACCAGAUGGGCCGCUCAGGUCCGGCCCCUCCGCGGCACCAGCACUUCGGGGAUACCCCUGCCCUUCCGAGGGUUGACACAAUCCGACAGGCAUCCUCAUGACCCCCCCC